AUUGAACGCUGGCGGCAGGCCUAACACAUGCAAGUCGAACGAGUGGCGGACGGGUGAGUAAUUUAUGGGAAACUGCUCGAUGGAGGGGGAUAACUAGUGGAAAAGGUAGAUAAUACGGCAUACGAUGGGCUGGGCCCAGAUGGGAUUAGGGAGUAGGUGGGGUAACGGCUCACCUAGGCGACGAUCCCUAGCUGGUCUGAGAGGAUGACCAGCCACACUGGAACUGAGACACGGUCCAGACUCCUACGGGAGGCAGCAAUGGGGAAUAUUGCACAAUGGGCGAAAGCCUGAUGCAGCCAUGCCGCGUGUAUGAAGAAGGCCUUCGGAUUGUAAAGUACUUUCAGCGAGGAGGCGUUACUCGCAGAAGAAGCAACGGCUAACUCCGUGCCAGCAGCCGCGGUAAUUC
rnacentral:rRNA from 1 species